UCCAGACUCCUACGGGAGGCAGCAGUGAGGAAUAUUGGUCAAUGGGCGGGAGCCUGAACCAGCCAAGCCGCGUGAAGGAAGAAGGCGCCAGGCGUCGUAAACUUCUUUUGACAGGGAAGAGCAGAAGACGGUACCUGUCGAAUAAGCCACGGCUAACUACGUGCCAGCAGCCGCGGUAAUACGUAGGUGGCAAGCGUUGUCCGGAUUUACUGGGUGUAAAGGGCGUGUAGCCGGGCUGACAAGUCAGAUGUGAAAUCCGGGGGCUCAACCCCCGAACUGCAUUUGAAACUGUUGGUCUUGAGUAUCGGAGAGGCAGGCGGAAUUCCUAGUGUAGCGGUGAAAUGCGUAGAUAUUAGGAGGAACACCAGUGGCGAAGGCGGCCUGCUGGACGACAACUGACGGUGAGGCGCGAAAGCGUGGGGAGCAAACAGGAUUAGAUACCCCCGUACUU
rnacentral:rRNA from 1 species